CAUAAGCCUUACUUAAAGUGACCGUGUUUACAUUGGGGGCAGUAGUCGGCGAGUGUUAUAAACCAAGUUAUAUGUAACAACCUAUUCAGCUUCAUACACCGUGGCAAUAAAUCAAGAAAGAAUAUAUGUUAUUGUUCCAGUGCUAAAUAUUUUUUGACAUGGCUUUGGUGUUUGGAAGAUGCUUGUUGGGGUCACAAAACCCCCCUCAUCCAAACCCUUAGGUUAGAACAAGAAAGGCCAAAACCUGCGAAAGCCAGCCAUACCUCACUGGGAUCGGGCAAUAGUACUCCGGAUGACAGAACCUUUUUAUGCGGCAAAAACUUCACAAGAGCAUCCAGCGAAUAAUUGUAAAAAGAAAAGAAGUACGCUUCAAAA